rnacentral:rRNA from 1 species
CAAUAGCGUAUAUUAAAGUUGUUGCAGUUAAGAAGCUCGUAGUUGGAUUUGUGGCGUACGGUGUGUUCCGGGCACUUGUUGUCUGAGUAACCUGCUGUUGCCAUCCUUGGGUGGAACCUGUGUGGCAUUAGGUUGUCGUGCAGGGGAUGCCCAUCAUUUACUGUGAAAAAAUUAGAGUGUUCAAAGCAGGCUUAUGCCGUUGAAUAUAUUAGCAUGGAAUAAUGAGAUAGGACUUUUUUGCUAUAUUGUUGGUUUGCGCACAGAGGUAAUGAUUAAUAGGGACAGUUGGGGGUAUUCGUAUUCCAUUGUCAGAGGUGAAAUUCUUGGAUUUUUGGAAGACGAACUACUGCGAAAGCAUUUACCAAGGAUGUUUUCAUUAA